UAAAGCCUGGCAGGCAAUAAGUGCUUAGCAAUAACUAUUGAAUGAAUGAACGAAAAAAUGAGCAAGUGAAUUUAACACAACUUUUAAAAUCCAGAAUGUCAGUACUAAAAGGAGACUUUUAAGUAGUACUGGAAUUCAACUUAAUGAAGUGUUGCUACAUACUUCCUCUUUUCUGAUCACUGAUACCUGAUAUUUAGAUAGUGAAUGGCUUGUUGCAAACACUGACAUUGUUCACAUAGUAACGUGAUAGAUUGGUGGCCUAGGCAGCAACAUACUUUCUAUAAUCUGUAGCAUGAAGUCAAGUGAGGAGUAACGAUGGUAUUUCCUGAAGCAGCUUUCUUUUGCUUUUCUGUUUAGAUUAUGGUGUGGCCAUGGGUUUCGUUCGUACCAUCACUGUGAAGAAUUUUCGAAACUUAAGAAUCAAACUCUGUUUAUACGUUUUUCAUAUAAGCCCUUAAUUACAGUCACUCCUUGGGCCUAAUGUUUUUGCAGUUACAUGUCAGAUUGAGGUAUUUCGUCCUGAGAAUGUCAGCUGGCUCUAUGAAGAAGCGGAGCAGAUGUCUGCACAACCCAGAGGAGCGCUGAUUUGAGUCCAGGAGUCUUUUUGUUUAAGAACACAUUAAAAGUGUUUGUGUGUCUAUUUGUAAAACCGCUGGGACAUGAUAAAAAGCACUCUAAGACAUAAAAAUUGUUCUUCUGUUUUGAAAGGCAGGAUAGAGGCAUAUGGACAAGUUGUGAUCUUUUCUCUUGCAACUUGAUUUUCAUUACUUGAACUUUGUCUUCUAUGCUUUUAUUACCAACACUUAUACACAAAGGUACAUAUAAUAUUUGCAAAAAGGAGGAUAAACUGUUUUCAGACUGGGGUCUGUUAAGUGUUUAUUUACCACAAUCUACAACAACAAAAAUGACAAUUCCUGCUUGUCACUGAAAAUAAUGUGAGUGAAAUGAAAGGAUGGAAGCAAGUUCUUGCCGGCAUAGCUGAAGUUUGAUAUCAGAUUAUAGAGUGAAAACGUAUUGGCUUGGUUUUGAGGCCUGACUUCGUCAAUUGAAGGCCCUGUGGCGUGGGAGAGAGAUAUUUGAUCCUGUUGAACCUCAGUUUCUCCAUUUAUCAAAUAGAGAUGGAAAGUAUUGGCCUGCACGUAUUUCUCCUUCAAAUGACAUAUUUUGUAGAUAGAAGUGUAUUGUAAGUUGUGUGUGCUUAACAAACAUGAAGGUCUGUUAUGAUCUCACUUUCUGGGUAAGGAGAAAACAGUGGGAUGAGUUUUGUGUCCCUUUCUUUGUGGUUUUGACUCCAGCAGCUUCUGAAUUUCUUUUGCUGACGUUCCUAAUUAGCAACGCCGAAUAUCUUGUUGUAUCAAUCCUCCCCAGCCCUUAAGAUGGAAACAAGUAUUCCAGUUAUCGUUAUACCAUGUGCCGGGCAGGAAAGAAUUGUAUUGCCAUCAGAAUCUCAAUUUAUCAAUCUCAGUGACUUAAAAUUUUGAAUUUGCAAGCUUAAUAUUAUUCAUUAACAAAGUAUUUGUCAUGUUAUAGCUUUCCUCCAGGGAACAAAAGGAAAUGGCACACACUAGCUCUUCUAACAAACUCUCAUUCAGCAAAGGAUGGUGUGCCCUUAAUUUUGUCAGCAUGUGUAUAAAGAAUGUAAUUUUAAUAGAGAUGCUUCACUUUGCAAAUAUAGUGCAUAAUUUUCAAGUACGUCUUUGAAUCUGCCUCAGACCUGCUCAGAAGCUGUGUUUUCCCUCUCUUCAUUAAAUUGUUCCAACCUGGAAAUUUUCUCUUUAGAAUUCAGAUAUUUUUCACUUCUUGGGAAGGGAAUAACUAAGUAAUUUCAAUGCUUUACACUACAAGGAUGAUGUAUUUUUGUUCUGCACAGCAUUGAUGUGGUUGAGCUGUAUUCUUUUUCUAAUAAUGUAAAUAAUAUAGGUCUGUAAGGGUUUGUAUCAUUGCAUGUAUAUGUUAAGAGAAUAAGAGGUAUAAAAGUAAAUUUUGAGGAAUUAUAAGUAUGAACCAGACAGUCUUUUACCUUUAGCUCUGCCUUUAAAUCUUGAACUUAAAGCAAAAAGUUAUGCCCAUCUCUUUGAUUGCAUAUUAAAUAGGAAAAUAAAACUAGAUUGUUCUCAGGAUCUUUUAAAAGAAAAGAUAUAAGCAUGGAUUUAUUAUAGAAAGUGAAAAAGGACCCUAGAAGAAAACCUAGGCAAUACCAUUUGGGACAUAGGCGUGGGCGACGAUUUCAUGAUUAAACACCAGAAGCAAUGGGAACAAAAGCCAAAAUUGGCAAAUGGGAUCUAAUUCAACUAAAGAGCCUCUGCACAGCAAAAGAAACUAUCAUCAGAGUGAACAGGCAACCUACAGAAUGGGAAAAAAU